rnacentral:rRNA from 1 species
CUUAGUGGCGGACGGGUGAGUAACGCGUGGGAACCUGCCCUGUACAGGGGGAUAACACUUAGAAAUAGGUGCUAAUACCGCAUAAGCGCACAGUAUCGCAUGAUACAGUGUGAAAAACUCCGGUGGUACAGGAUGGACCCGCGUCUGAUUAGCUGGUUGGCGGGGUAACGGCCUACCAAGGCGACGAUCAGUAGCCGGCCUGAGAGGGUGACCGGCCACAUUGGGACUGAGACACGGCCCAAACUCCUACGGAAGGCAGCAG